rnacentral:rRNA from 1 species
AUACCCUAUUAUUUUUAUUGUAAAAUUGAUUUUAAGCCUGAGUAUUAAUAGUUAUGGUCUUUAAACUUAAAGAAUUUGGCGGUAUUAUAGUCUAUUUAGAGGAAUCUGUCAUGUAAUCGAUAAUCCACGUUGAACCUUAUUUAUGUUAUUUCUUGUAUACCGCUGUUUUUGAAGAUAUUUUCAGAUUAAUUUUCUUAAUAUUUAAUUAUUUAAUAUUUCAAGUCAAGGUGCAGUAAUACAUGAAGCUUUUGAUGGAUUACAAUAAGUUUUAUUUAUACGGAUUAUUAAAUGUAAUUUAAAUAUGAAGGUGGAUUUAAUUGUAAUUUAAUUAAGAUUAUUUAGUUGAUUUAUAGCUCUAUAAUAUGCACACAUCGCCC